AUGCACGAGUAAAACUAUGAAAAUAACAAUUUUUUUAAUCAAUAGAGACAAGAGAAUUGAUAUGUAUAGGAAAAUCUUUAGUACUGAAAAGGAUUGUACUGAAAAAGUUGUCAAAUAAGUUGACAAUGUUUGCAAAAACAAUAAUGUUAUCUAGCACCAUAUAUGUUAGGACACUGAUUAGGUACUACUGAGUAAUCCGAUUGAUGGAAUAAACUUCAAAUUGAAUUUGAUCUUGACAUAAUACUAUAAGAAACUAAUUUUUAUGAAUUUUAAAAAAGUGGAAGUGAAAUUUUUGAUAGUUUGUAUCAUAAUUUAACUAUAUAGUUGAACUUAAGCCCCCCAUUUUGGGCCCAUUUCUUUCAAAUGCUAACGUUUGGAAUAGUGUUUUUGAGGAGAUAAUGUGAUUUUAAAAUUUUUUUUUUAAAAAAAAAGGAAACUUUUCAAUUUAC
rnacentral:lncRNA from 1 species